CCGAGUGAGGGCCUUUUGGUCCGACCUCCAACCCUUUGUGAUUAAAACCUCUGUUGCCUCGGGGGCGACCCAAGUCUUCGUAGUUGGGGCCCCCGACGGACCAUUUCAAAAAUCUGCAUCUUUGCGUCGGAUUUGAUAAAGAAAAUUAAUCA
rnacentral:misc_RNA from 1 species